rnacentral:tRNA from 1 species
GGGCGGUUAGCUCAGCUGGUUAGAGCACUGCGUUGACAUCGCAGAGGUCGUACGUUCGAGCCGUAUACCGCCCA